CAGAUUGGAGAGACUGUCCAACUGGCUCCAGUUAGACCAACGUUGAAGUUUCAUAUGUGUGAUCCCAUGCAAACUCAGGGAGCUUCCUUGUUGGUCAGCUAUAAAAACAUCCCAUCAGUCUGUUGAGUUCACAGCUCGACAGUUUCAACAUCACCAUGUUCUCAAUAGCUCUGCUGCUGCUGUUGGCAGCUGGAUGCUUCAAAUGUGAGCAGUUGACGCAGCCGGCCUCUGUGACUGUGCAGCCCGGUCAACGUCUGACCAUCACCUGUCAGGUUUCUUAUAGUCUGAGCAGCUACUGGACAGCAUGGAUCAGACAGCCUGCAGGGAAAGGACUGGAAUGGAUUGGAAGCAAAUAUACUGGAGAUUCACGCUACAAAGAUUCACUGAAGAGCAAGUUUAGUAUCGACUUAGAUGCUUCCAGUAAAACAGUGACUCUAAACGGACAGAAUGUGCAGCCUGGAGACACGGCUGUGUAUUACUGUGCUAGAGACCCACAGUAACACAAACCAUCAGUACAGCUGAACAAAAACCUCUCAGUGCCUGAACACUUGUAACACAAAGCCACCAGAGGAGGAGUC